UAGGCUGACAGCAAGCUUCCUGAUGCCCAGGCUGCUCAUGAAAAGACCAUCACUGCCCUGUUGACUGCGCUAGGUGGCGCAAACAUGAUUUACGGGUCAG
rfam:Syntrophaceticus schinkii strain Sp3 genome assembly, contig: SSCH_Contig_29